AACGAACGCUGGCGGCAUGCCUAACACAUGCAAGUCGAGCGCCCGUAGCAAUACGGGAAGCGGCGCACGGAUGAGUAACGCGUGGGAACCUGCCCAGAGGUCUGGGACAACCGCGGGAAACUGCGGCUGAUACCGGAUGAUUCCUGAGGGACAAAGAUUUAUUGCCUUUGGAGGGGCCCGCGUCGGAUUAGGUAGUUGGUGGGGUAACGGCUCACCAAGCCUAUGAUCCGUAACUGGUCUGAGAGGAUGACCAGUCACACUGGGACUGAGACACGGCCCAGACUCCUACGGGAGGCAGCAGUGGGGAGUAUUGGACAAUGGGGGGCAACCCUGAUCCAGCAAUGCCG
rnacentral:rRNA from 1 species